GACGAACGCUGGCGGCGUGCCUAACACAUGCAAGUCGAACGAGGUCCAUGAGAGCUUGCUCUCGGACGACCUAGUGGCGAACGGGUGAGUAACACGUGAGAAACCUGCCUCGGAGUGGGGAAUAACUCGGGGAAACUCGAGCUAAUACCGCAUACCUUCAGAUGAUCGCAUGGUCGACUGAAGAAAGAAUUUCGCUCUGAGAGGGUCUCGCGGCCUAUCAGCUAGUUGGUGGGGUAACGGCCUACCAAGGCAACGACGGGUAGCUGGAUUGAGAGGUGGAUCAACCACACUGGGACUGGGACACGGCCCAGACUCCUACGGGAGGCAGCAGUGGGGAAUCUUGCGCAAUGAGCGAAAGCCUGACGCAGCAACGCCGCGUGCGGGAUGACGGCCUUCGUGGUUGUAAACCGCUUUCAGCAGGGACGAAAUUGACGGUACCUGCAGAAGAAGCCCCGGCUAACUACGUGCCAGCCGCCGCCGUAAAAC
rnacentral:rRNA from 1 species